rnacentral:tRNA from 1 species
UCCUGGGUGGGAAAACAGUUAUUGUGCUUGGCUGCUAACCAAAAGGUUGGUGGUUCAAGUCCACCCAGAGGUG